AACGAACGCUGGCGGCAGGCCUAACACAUGCAAGUCGAGCGAGGACUUCGGUCCUAGCGGCGGACGGGUGAGUAACGCGUGGGAACGUGCCCUUUGCUUCGGAAUAGCCCUGGGAAACUGGGAGUAAUACCGGAUGAGCCCUUCGGGGGAAAGAUUUAUCGGCGAAGGAUCGGCCCGCGUUGGAUUAGGUAGUUGGUGGGGUAAUGGCCUACCAAGCCGACGAUCCAUAGCUGGUUUGAGAGGAUGAUCCGCCACACUGGGACUGAGACACGGCCCAGACUCCUACGGGAGGCAGCAGUGGGUAAUCUUAGACAAUGGGGGAAACCCUGAUCUAGCCCUGCCGCGUGAGCGAUGAAGGCCUUAGGGUUGUAAAGCUCUUUCAGCUGGGAAGAUAAUGACGGUACCAGCAGAAGAAGCCCCGGCUAACUCCGUG
rnacentral:rRNA from 1 species